CACCAGUUCAACAAAGAAUCCAGCACCAACAGUUCCAAUUAUCGCAGCCAAAGUACCAGCGGUGUUCGAUAUACCAUGGAGAACGCCAGAAUACUGCGGGGCAAUCUCCUGAAGGUUGACAAGGAAGCCACAAUGACUAAAUGCUUUCAGUCCUACAGCUAAAGUAAGCCAAGCAGAUGCUAUGGAUGGACUUGGUGCUGUGGUUAAACCAAUGAGAGAAAAACCGGGGCCGAAAAAACCAACUGACUGCAUAACUUUCCGGGUUAGGGUCACACUUAUGCCUCUUUGGAUCAUCAUGUCUGACAGAAACCCAG
rnacentral:misc_RNA from 1 species